CCUACGGGGGGCAGCAGUGGGGAAUUUUGGACAAUGGACGAAAGUCUGAUCCAGCAAUGCCGCGUGCAGGACGAAGGCCUUCGGGUUGUAAACUGCUUUUGUACGGAACGAAAAAGUCUUUUUUAAUAAAGAGGGCUUAUGACGGUACCGUAAGAAUAAGCACCGGCUAACUACGUGCCAGCAGCCGCGGUAAUACGUAGGGUGCAAGCGUUAAUCGGAAUUACUGGGCGUAAAGCGUCCGCAGGCGGUUCUAUAAGACAGAUGUGAAAUCCCUGGGCUCAACCUAGGAACUGCAUUUGUGACUGUAGAGCUAGAGUACGGCAGAGGGGGAUGGAAUUCCGCGUGUAGCAGUGAAAUGCGUAGAUAUGCGGAGGAACACCGAUGGCGAAGGCAAUCCCCUGGGCCUGUACUGACGCUCAUGGACGAAAGCGUGGGGAGCAAACAGGAUUAGAUACCCCAGUAGUC
rnacentral:rRNA from 1 species